ensembl:lncRNA
CAGCCAAAACCUCAAAAAAUCAGUCAUGUUUAACAGCAUAGUGCAACACACUUUGAAAGGCGGAGACCAUUCCAUCGAAGUUUCCCAAUCACUCACAGCUGGCACAAAAAAUAUAUACUUUAAAUGUUUGAACCUUGAUGAUCACUACAUUGUGUUAGUUAAAGUUACAUCAAAUGUAGCCUACAAUGUAACAAUUUCUAUCAGCGGGCUACAAUGUUACUGUUAUGGUUAAUUUCGGCAUACAUGCUAAUUGGCAUCUUUCCAUGAACUAAAAACGUUCAAGAUAAAUAUGCAGUCAACCCGUGGGAAAAAAAAAUUGAUUGUUGCGGUGGGAAUUGUAGUUCUUCUGGCCUUCCCAAUGUUCUCGCAACAUUACCGUGACGUUGUUGCAACGUGAUAUCAUGCGCUGGCUGUGGACUGCUUGAUAACCACUUCCGCUUUUUUCCACGCAAGUCAACAUUUGCGUUUACCUAGAAAGACAGUAAAGACAUUGUAGAAAGGUUUUUGUCGGUUAAAACUCACGUUUAGGAGAUCGACAGGUUGAGAUAUUUAUGGAGCAUAAUAAUGGAGAUACUUCUAGCUGGUCGAUGCAGCGACGAAUGGAAGGUUUGGUCAACAAACACAUGGCAGACAUAGCACUAGAAACACUCCAACAGAGACUAUCAGCUGUGUCCGACGAAAUGAACCAUCUUGCGGAACAUGUCUCGAGACGCUCGGAGGAUGUUCCCAAGUAUGAUAUUCCAAGACGCACAGAUGUAAACUUUGACGUUGAGUCACUGAGUGCAACAUUUAGCACGGGUGGUGUUGGGGAAAAGUUGGCGAUCCCCGGCACCUCAUCAUCAGCAGAGACGGCUGCCCAGCGUAAAAUCAUCUCCCUGCUGGUGGAGAUUAAGGAGGAGCAGCAGAGACAGUGGGGCGUUUUGAGGCAGAUGCAGGCCAGGGUUCAGGGCCAGAGCUUUCCGGUGGUAGAGGAAGAGGUGGAGGCUCUAGACAUUGAUAUCCCACUGAGGACCAUGGAGCAGCUAGAUGACACAGAGAGGCACCUGGAGGAUGCAGGAGCACAGAAGAGAAUGGUGUCUCACCUGUCACGAAUGGGUGGGGCCACGUUUGAUGAUGCGGUGCGAAGGCUCAUGCAGGCAGUGCUAUCUUUUGCUGUGGGCUCUGAGCUCAACUGGGUGGGCCGAGGCCAGAAAAGGAGCUUCAGAAACACCCGCCUCCAAGGGGUUCUCUUCUGUGCUCUGAAAAGAACCCCAGUGGGCAAAGAGGCCACACAUCACCAGUUUGCAGACGUGGUGAAGAAGUGGCUGCGGUUCGCCCCAUUCAGACAGGGAGGGAGUGGUCGACGGCAUUAUAAACCACCUGUUGACUUCCUGUGUCCAAAGGAAUGUGUAGAUCUGCCUACACAUCAGCCUACACAUCCACAAACAGCGCAAACAGGCUCUAACCAGAAGAGGAGUGGGAGGCCCCGGUGCACAACUGAGCAAGAGGACAAGUACAUUAGUGUCUAGUUUGAGAAACAGGCGCCUCACAAGUCCUCAACUGGCAGCUUCAUUAAAUAGGACCCACAAAACCCCCGUCUCAACGUCAACAGUGAAGAGGCGACUCCAGGACGCUGGCCUUCUAGACAGAGUUGCAAAGAAAAAGUAGAUAUUCUAUUAAAAAUCUGCAGUUUCCAGCUACAAUAGUAAUUUACAACAUUAACUAUGUCUACACUGUAUUUCUGAUCAAUUUGGCUGUUAAUAUAGGCCAUGAACAUUGCAGUUUGUAGUAGGUCUAUGACGUUUUCAUCCUUACGAAGGCGCAGGCUUCCGGGUCAUUCAGAUGACCUCUUUCUGCACAUUAUUUUUUCUAUAUAACUGUGAGUGAGUGAAUGUUAGAGACACGAAAGCAAUUUACUAUAUGUUAAAAAGUAAUGUCUAUAUAAGCUUAUUUCUUGUAACAACCAUCAUACAUUGUAAAUAUCC